GACGGAGGAUGCAAGCGUUAUCCGGAAUUAUUGGGCGUAAAGCGUACGUAGGUGGCUGGUCAAGUCUGGGGUCAAAGGCCGGAGCUCAACCGUGGAAAGGCAGUGGAAACUGAACGGCUGGAGUGAAGUAGGGGUAGCGGGAAUUCCCAGUGUAGCGGUGAAAUGCGUAGAGAUUGGGAAGAACACCGGAGGCGAAAGCGCUCAGCUGGGCCGCAACUGACGCUGAGGUACGAAAGCUAGGGGAGCGAAUGGG
rnacentral:rRNA from 1 species